AUUGAACGCUGGCGGCAGGCCUAACACAUGCAAGUCGAGCGGAUGAAGGGACUUUGUUCCUGGAUUCAGCGCCGGAUAGGCGUGAAAUGCCUCGAAAUCUGCAUGGUAGUGGGGGAUAACGUCCGGAUACGGGCGAUAAUACCGCAUCCUUCCUCCGGGACACAGUGGGGGAUCUUCGUCCCUCACGCUCUCCGCUGAGCCUCGGUCGGAUUGGCUAGUUGGUGGGGUAACGGCCUACCAAGGCGCCGAACCGUAACUGGUCUGAGAGGAUGAACAGUCACACUAGGACUGAGACACCGUCCAGACUCCUACGGGAUGCAGCAGUCGGGAAUAUUGGACAAUGGGCGAAAGCCUGAUCCAGCCAUGCCGCGCGUGUGAAGAAGGUCCUCGGAGUGUAAAGCACUUUAAGUUGGGAGGAAGGGCAGUAAGUUAAUACCUUGCUGUUUUGACGUUACCAACAGAAUAAGCACCGGCUAACUUCGUG
rnacentral:rRNA from 1 species